UUUAGUAAACAGAGCCCAAGGAGAUGGAGAGCAAGACACAGAAGAAGACAAAAAACAUAAAAGGAGGAGCCAAUAGGAAGAUGGUUUAAGAACCAAAAAGUUAUAAAAGAAACAACACACUGCAGACAACAACAUGCAGUCACACAACCAAAAGCAACCAAACAAUGGCAGGGCAUCCAGUGUCCCCUAUGAAAUUGGAGAAAAGGAUCUACCGGUACCCCAAACAGCCAUGAAACUGAAGUAUACAGAAAAAAAAGAGGAGAAAAGCAAUCAGAGAAGAAAACUGCAUCUACGAGUGGACAUCUGGAAUAGGACUUGAAUACACUCCAUUCCCAACCUAUGUGUACCCAGUACAAGUGAAGGCUUUGGUCAGAUCCAUUUUUCCGGAUCAAAUCUGCAACUAUCCUGACCCUGAUCAUGAAAAGGUUGUUAUGGUGACAAUGGAAGAUCUUUUCCUGGUAAAAGAUGAAACAUCUCCAAAACCCGCCGCAACAUUUCCAGCUGAAAGUUGAUCUUGGAAUGGAACAGUAACACAAAAUAUGUUGACAAAGUAAAAUAAAAUCGUUUCUACUUGAA